GCUGGAGCUGCACAUGUUCAAACGUUUUUAUAAAGAUUAAAAAAACCAAACUAUGAUAUGUAUUUAUUUUCUGAAGUCAGUCUUCAUCAUCCUUGUCCCUACAGGACAAAAAGUAAUUUCCAGUUAAGACAUAUGCCUGUUUAAGUUCUACUCCAAGGAGGGGAAAAGUGUUCUGAAUUUUUCCAAUAGAUAUAUAUUUUUUUCCCUUAGGGCUCAACUGUCACUUAAGCAUCACAAGAACAAAUUGAAAUGUAAAACUGCUCAGCUAUACACAAUGGAAUUGGUCACAAAGGGAUUUAAAAAAACAAAAAAAGAAAGUAAAACCAUAAGAUCCAUUCUCCAUAUAGCUCACAGUAUCCACGCUGGAAGUUUCGCUAGAAUUAGAAUAAGUUCACUAAAAAUAAGGCUGAUGGUGGAAUUUCAGCACUAUGAAACAGAUGAAAUGGGAUUAAGAGGAGAACCCAUUUGUGUAAGUACUUUAUCCAGCCACUGGAGGGGCCCAUGAAGAUGAAUUUCUAUCCAGCAUGGGGUGCUUGUGACAUCUUGUCGGUGAUAUUCAGCUCCCCACCCCUUUACAAAACUCAUUCGGAUGGUGCACAUUUUGGUGAGCUCAUACACUGCUUCAAAUCCAUGGUUGACAGACUGAGCUAAAAGCUGAGCAAAUUCCUGAUUGUUAAAGAUUUUCAGGCUGCAUCCACUAGGAAUCUUGCAUACAGUUGUUGGAUGAAAGCCGUGGUGGUAGUUGCAGUUCCUGCUCUGUACAAAUAUGCUGCUGUCACUUAAACACUCAGCAUAGACUUCCCCACCAACAUAGUAGAGAUGAACUCCUUUCCCAAUAUGUCGUCUAGUGUUCUCAAUUGUUGAGUUGCGAUUAACAUUUGAGAGCAAACCCAAGCAGAACCUGUUUUUAUUAUUGGAGGGAUCUGUAAACCCAUCUACUAAGACACUUGUGGAAGAUGCAUGAAAGGCCUCUCCAACACGAUUAUUUAAUUCGUAAUACACAAUCGAACACCAGUGUUUGGGUUCUUCAUAGGCAACAGGCUGAACAUCUCUGGUAGAUAUAUUUGGCAUGAUUUGAGGGAUCAUUGUAUUGCUUGUGUCCAUAGACUGAGAGUUAUCCUGCCCCAUUUGAUCAUCAGGGGGCAUAUAUGCAGGAGGUGGAGUAUCAGCAGGUAGCUGAAAUGGACUAGAUGGUCCAGAGCUAGCUGGGGAGCUUGGGUAAGUGCUGCUGGCUGGAGAAGGUGGAUAGGGACUGUUUGGCGAAAUGGAAAAUGGAGUGCUGUUGGGUUGCUGGAAGGAAUCUGGAAAUGUCGCAUUAUGUGGCAUAUGUGGUUCAUUGUGGCUUAGGUUCCUGAACUGAACUAGUAGACUGUGCUGUGGAUUGAAUUCACUAUGUCUAGGCACUAACACUGGAGGUAGAACUGGGCUCUCCACCCUCUUAUAGUGGUAAGGAUUGAUGCAGACUUCCUUCUGUUUAGAUCCAAAAGGAAAUUCACAAAUAUCCAAUGGCUUCAGCUCAUGAUGGCUUUGUAGAUCAGGCCAACGCCAGACCCGACAGUAAAUUACAUGGGGAAGGCCUUUUCUGUGAGAAACCUGAAGUCGUCCAUCUAACGAACGGGGGAUAGUAACACACUUGCUGGGCUGUCCUGGACUGCUCAAAGCUUUCUCCAGUUCUUCCAUAGCACCUUUUUUCUUUUUCAGCUUUUUAACCAAAGCAUCGACAGCUUUUUCUGCCCAUUUUUCCUCUUCAUCUCCUUGUUUCCAGCCCAACAGACGCUUUACAGCUGGGCUAGUAAAGGAGAACAAACUGGCCAUUGACGUCAUUUGACACACGUCUUCAAAAGAUUUGUUGGGUUUUGCCUGUUUUUUUUUUGUUAGUUCUUGUUUUCAAAUAAAUGUCAGUGUAUACCAAAAGCAGUUAUUGCCACUGAUGAGCUGUAUUCUUUCUUGGACGCUGACAAAUAAACAUAUAGACGUCAGUGACGAAGUCUUCACAUCAAAAAUAACAAUCAACUCUUCCAAUUUAGUUCUUCAGAACAUUAGUGCCGCUCCAUGUUCUGCCCCCUCACUCUCGCACUAGCCGCUUCCCAGGCGGUCGCUGCUUCUCUCCCUUUUUCUCUCAUCCUGGCCACUGCGGGGCGAGGGGCGGAGCUGCCCGCUGGGCCCGGGGCUCUGCAGCGCCGCGGAACGGGGCCGGAACGGCGAAGAACGGGCGCGGGAGGGCGCGGAGCCCCCGCGGAACGGCCUUGGGCUGUGUGCGAGCAGGGCAGGCAGUUCAAAUUCCCCCUUUAGCAACAUUCCAGGCUCCUAGUCUAUUUUUCGCUCCCGGCCUUCAGCCUGGAAUAAUGCUGUUGGUGUGCAGCCAUGCAGCCAUGUUCUGUGUAUGUCUUUUGUGCAAUCUGUACCAAAACCUCUUUGCCCCGGCGUAAAUCGUGCCUGGAGCGCUGAGUAACUCAUCCAGUGCAGCUCUACUGGUGUGCAGAAUGGGAGCACCAUCCACCACAGGGCACUGACUAUUGCAUUAGGUCACUUUGCAUGAAAGAAUAACAGAUACACAGUCUGGACACAUUAAAUGUAUGCAGUAGAAUUACAGAAUCACAGAAUGUCCCAAGCUGGAAGGGACCCAUAAGGAUCACCGAGUCCUGCUUGUAUGCAGGCAUGCACACAAACGUCUCAAAAUGAGCCGGGUUGGUUAGGGUAAGGUCACCUUCCAUGUAAAAAAUACAGUUGUAAAGUAUGAUUGAUCUUCAUAGCAGGCCUUCUAAACUUGCAUUUUACCACUUUGCACGUAUAUAUAAAAGUGGAAAAAAUAGGAGCGGUAUUGAAAAAUGGGAGUGCAAUAGAUGGCUCUGGCUGUGAAUUUGCAGAGCUGAACACAAUAAAAGCUGAUCAGUCGUGUUGACAGCAGAGCUCGUAGAGGUUUCAAAGUCCAGCUGAUAGGAAGUCUGACAGCUGCACACCCUUAGAGCAGAAAAUAAAAUUUGUGUGAUUAGGUGCUUGCAGAAUCAAAGCAUUUAUUGUUAAACUAUUAAG
rnacentral:lncRNA from 1 species